rnacentral:rRNA from 1 species
GUGUCAGCCGCCGCGGUAAUACGGAGGGUGCAAGCGUUAAUCGGAAUUACUGGGCGUAAAGCGCACGCAGGCGGUUGGAUAAGUUAGAUGUGAAAGCCCCGGGCUCAACCUGGGAAUUGCAUUUAAAACUGUCCAGCUAGAGUCUUGUAGAGGGGGGUAGAAUUCCAGGUGUAGCGGUGAAAUGCGUAGAGAUCUGGAGGAAUACCGGUGGCGAAAGCGGCCCCCUGGACAAAGACUGACGCUCAGGUGCGAAAGCGUGGGGAGCAAACAGGAUUAGAAGCCCUCGUGUCC